GACAGAGGGUGCAAACGUUGUUCGGAAUUACUGGGCGUAAAGCGCGUGUAGGCGGCUCUGCAAGUCAGGUGUGAAAUCCCACGGCUCAACCAUGGAAGUGCACUUGAAACUGCAGGGCUAGAGUCCUGGAGAGGAAGGUGGAAUGCUUGGUGUAGAGGUGAAAUUCGUAGAUAUCAAGCGGAACACCGGUGGCGAAGGCGGCCUUCUGGACAGUGACUGA
rnacentral:rRNA from 1 species